rnacentral:lncRNA from 1 species
UCCUGCUGUUAUGGAAUCUAGGAAAGAAUAUGCACAAUUAUACCUCUGCAUGGUGAGAGAUUGUUUUCAUAUUUGGAAUCUACAAUUAAUGUUUUGGUUACAAUAGAAUAAUCUUAGGAUGGUGCCAAGACUUGCUUUUACAAAAGAGAAGAUGAAGCUCGUAUAGUUAACAUUAACUUAAAAAAGAGAAAUUAGAAAGGACAAGCUUCAUCAUCAGCUCAAAAACGUGCCAACACC